CCGCGUCCCAUUAGCUAGUUGGUAGGGUAAUGGCCUACCAAGGCGACGAUGGGUAGCCGGCCUGAGAGGGUGGCCGGCCACACUGGGACUGAGACACGGCCCAGACUCCUACGGGAGGCAGCAG
rnacentral:rRNA from 1 species